UGCUCAUCAUCUGACCCAUGCAAUCUAAUCUAAACUAUGGAACCAGAGACAUCGGCACAGUCCAGCCCCCGUCUUGGUGAAGAUCAUCCUUGGCCACUGGACUUUGAUGAAAUAAAUACAGGGUUUUGUGACCAAAGUGUAACUUACUCAGAUGUCAAAGUUUAUAGACCUUCAAAUGUUGAGAAGAGAGAAACAACUAGGAAUUUGAAGACAAAUGAGACUACAUGGUGCCUUGUUGCAAUGUUAUUUGUCUUCAUUUAUUUAAUUUUUCUGGCAUUAGCUGCGGUGAUGACAGCUAAGGCUCGUUGUCUGGAAGAGGUUCUGAUAUCAUAUGAAAACGAAACUGCACAUUGCAAAGUCAUAUAGCAAAGCAGAGAAAGGAACAAAUAAGAAAAAGAACUUUCAAGAAUAAAAUUCUUGCUCAUGAGGAGUGACAUUUUCAGGCUAAUUAUUCUUUGGAAUUUUGAAGACCAAAGGCCUCGUAGAAGGGAUUCUCCCUCUAGUAGACUCUAGCGAACCUAAAGAAUACAGGUCUCCUUCAUUUUUUAUUCUCUUCUAAUAUGCGGUUGUUGCCUUUACAUCGCGUCUCCUUUUGCCCUGCCUUCAAGUUGUUACUGCCUUU